UUUGAUAUGUUGAUAUUGAUAGAUUGCAUUGAAGUAGAAGAUUUUGGCAUUGUUCUAUAGGAGGACGACAUUGUAGCGUUAUUGAACCAUUCAUAUUUCCUUUAUUUGUUAACCAAUUAUUUAAAUUAAAAGUUUAACAAAAGCUUUCACUCAAACUGAAUAACUGUUAUUUAAAAAAAAGAAAAAAGCAUAAUCAGAACAGAACUUCUACAACUAAAAAGCCCAAAAAAUUAAUCUGUCAGUAAAUUCCCUACGUUAAAAAUUAGGGUUAUUAAGUGGGAAAUUCAAUGUAAUGCAUAUUUUCUUUCUUUAUUGCCCGAUUAUUCCAGUUCAAAGCCAUGUAAAAGCUGGAGUUAAAAUACAUAAUUUUUAUUUUAGAUCAAAACUGAAUUAAACAAAUGGAACUCCCAUAUUUCAUGGGUAAGGCGCUCGAGAGAAAUUAUUCUCUUGAACUCAACGUACGUAGGUUCGUACCCAGGCGAUUCCUAUAGAAAGAAAUAUACUUUAUGUACCUUCACACAGGAUUCCUAUGUGAGUUGGUGUAAUUGUAAAACUAUAAUCUUUACUUAUACUUAAUCAGUGCAACUCCAUCUAAGCAAUUAAGUUAACAUUUAAAAAAAAAGUAGUUUACAGCUAAAUAGCCCUAAAAUUCAUUUGUUAGUAAUUUUUUUAUGUUAUUGGGCGGGAUGUUAAGAGUAAAAUGUGAAUGGGUUCAUAUUUCCUAUAUUUGGCAACCGAUUAUUGAAAUUCAAAAUUGAGUAAAUAAUUUAGGUACAACCGGUUAAUUCUUAUGUUAUACUGAGGAAAGGAAAUACUGUCUUCCAAGCAGAAAGUUUAAAUGUGACUGCCGUUCUAAAACAGUCUUAUGGACAUGGAUUAAUAGAAUUUUAAGUUUUGCUAAACUGUUUCUCUUCUCUUUCCUACACAGUUUAUAAAUAACUUCAGUACAUAUAAUAUGCAAAUGUAUAUUACAGUUGAACGAUUUUUAUUUUCUUUGAAUAACUUCUUCUUGGGUGGCGAGAGUGUGAUAAUGGAUCGUUUGUACAUAUGAAGAAAUGUAUCUUUUCUCAUAAUCAAUUUGCAUGUACCUACCUUUUUGUUCUACAAGUUUCUCACGAUGAUGCGACUGAUAUUCGUUUCAAUUGAGCGAAUCCAUAAAAUUGUUAAAAACUUCCUACAUACAUAUACGACUACAAGUCAUCAUUUCCUUUGCUUAUCUGAUUAAGAGGAAUUGAGGCAUAAAGAUAGAUGGUUGUAUCUGAAGAACAUCUUUCAUUUUUUGUUUAAGUGUUGCUGUUUGAUUUAGAUUACAUAUUAUAUGUACAUUGUACAUGGUGUCCGUCAACCCAAAAGCAAGCUAGAACAAGACCGGUGUAAGUUUUAAAAUGUUUGAAAAAUGGAAAUGUUACUUUUAUAAAAUUUGAAUGGUACAUUCUCCCUCUGCCCCGCCCCACUUCCGUCGGCCCUACAGUCUCAAUUAGGAUAAAAAUUGUGACUGUAUUACGUUUCUAUUCUUCAAAGAUUAAUAAUUAUCGUCAAUUUCUAUUAAUACAUUGAUCUGAUUACUCCUUUGGAGGUCCUGCAAAGCGCACUUAAAGUAGAAACAUAAAUGCAUCCUCACAAUUACAAAAUUAGAAAUUGAUUCAAUUGAAAAAGUCAAAUGAAGGUUAUAAACAGUAGUGAGCAUUUUGAGUAUCUCACCUUAAAAGAAUUAAAUGCAAAGCCUACAAUUGACCAAUAUCUGUGACGUGUGAUUAUUUAUAUAUUUAAAAAGAGGUACUCCGUUUUUUAAGAAGAAAAAAAAAUCAAUUAUUGGAGAAGCAAAUGCUCUUACCAUUGAGUCAGGAUUCAAUUUACAUUCUUCAACGAAUAAUUACUCCAAUUAAUCCUGUUGGAAUGUCGCAAACUGAACUCAAAGUAGCAAAAAAUCAUCCUAAAAAUGAAAUAAAAUUUAAAUUUAUAGAAUUGGAUAAGGCCAUAGCGGAACUAAUUAAGUCUUAUAAAGCAAAUGAA
rnacentral:lncRNA from 1 species